rnacentral:rRNA from 1 species
UAAGCGGAGGAAAAGAAACUAACAAGGAUUCCCUUAGUAACGGCGAGUGAACUGGGAAAAGCUCAAAUUUUAAAUCACCUAGGUGAGUUGUAAUUUGAAGAAAGUGUUUUGAUGCUCUGGUUUAGCCUAAAUCCUUUGGGAUAAGGUAUCAUAGAGGGUGAGAAUCCCGUUCAUGACUAAACCGUGGGUGUCACCUAAUUCACUUUCCAAGAGUCGAGUUGUUUGGGAUUGCAGCUCAAAAUGGGUGGUAAAUUUCACCUAAGGCUAAAUAUGUGCAAGAGACCGAUAGCGAACAAGUACCGUGAGGGAAAGAUGAAAAGAACUUUGAAAAGAGAGUUAAAUAGUACGUGAAAUUGUUGAAAGGGAAACGAUUGAAGUCAGUCAUGCUUGCGGGGAAUCAACAAAGUGGUUUUCUUCCUUGUGCACUUCCUUGCUUGGCAGGUUAGCAUCAGUUUUGAUUGUCAUUAAAGAACUGGGGGAAUGUGGCUUCUUCGGGAGUGUUAUAGACCCUGGUAGAUGUGGCGAUUGGAUUGAGGAUGCAGCGAAUGCUUCUUGGCUAGUCACCUGGCUUCUGACGGUUACCUUGCUUCCGAUAGCUUGCUAACGGUUGUGAGACUCGAUUGUCUAGAUGUUAGAGUGAACAUAAAUUCGCUAAGGAUGCUGACGUAAUGGCUUUAAACGACCCGUCUUGAAACACGGACCAAGGAGUCUAGCAUAUAUGCGAGUGUU